rnacentral:tRNA from 1 species
UCCUAAGUGGUCUAAUGUUUAGAAUUCUGUACUCUCACUGCAACAACAAGGGUUCAAUUCCCUGCUGAGGAA